AUAGGAAUUUAGUGAAGCACUAAAUAGUUAAUAAUAAUAAUAAUAAUAAAAUGUGGUCACCAUUUAUUGACUUUUUGGGUAAGACUUGCUUUACUAAUAUAACCGUUAAAACCGCAUUCAUUUACUUUUCUUGUGUAGUUUCCCACUAUUCAUUAAAUGUGUUAUAGAAGUAAAAAAGUAAUCAAUGGAACUAUACACAUUUGUACAACAAUUAAUCAUUAUACAGGAUUUGAACAUUUUCUAUAUUCGAGCUCAUGCUUCAUAAUAUUUCCAAGGAUUGCAGAGUACCAAAUGAUUUAUGAACAGUGUUUUUUUUUUUUUCAGGAGCGGAUUGUACUCCCAGAGGCUUCAACAGAGGGUCUGGAGCUGGGAGCUGCAGGUGGAUGGUGGCCAGGAGCCGUUCAGUCCUACAGGAACAGACGGUAGAGGUGAUGGCGGUGCUCGCCGUGAGGUCCGUGGCGGUCGUCUGGAGGUGCUCGCCGUGAGGUCCGUGGCGGUCGUCUGGAGGCGCUCGCUGCAGAUGGAGGGAAGGCCGGGAGCCGUGCAGCCCAAGGGAUGCAGAACGAAGGACUGAGGCGGAGGUCCUGGAGGCGGAGGUGGCCUGGAGGUCCUGGAGGCGUCCAACCUGGAAGUGGCGGCAUGGAGGGCCAGGUGGGGGCUCCUCAUCCAGUAAAGUUAAACUCUUCUUCAGUGCAUCAUGAAAGGGGAGAAAUGUUCCAGUAUGCAACUGGAACUUGUGUCUCACGUUUCAGAAGGGCCUGGAGGUGGCCAACCUGGGAGGCCUGGAGACGGCGGAGGUCCUGGAGGCAACGGCGGGACUGGAGGCGGAGGCCAACCUGGAGGUCCUGGAGUCGGUGGGCCUGGAGGCAGCUGCAGCGGCCAUCCUGGAGGCGGACUACCUGGAGGUCCUGGAGGCGGAUUGUGGAGACCAUCCUGGAGGGGCUGGAGGUGGCGUCCACCUGGCGUCGGCCGGCCUGGAAGGCCUGUAGGGGGCGAAGGGCCUGGAGGCGGUGGCCAACCUGGAGGCAACGGCGGGACUGGAGUCGGUGUGCCUGGAGGCGGCCAACCUGGAGGUCAAUCUGAUCAACGAGGAAAUCAAAGAGCGCAGCCAGGAACUGGUGGUAUCGCCAUUUGGGGAAAAUAACUUAUUUCUAACUUUAAU